GGACUUGCAACCAAGUGAUGAGAGCCCAGAGUAACUAGGCUACCUACCAGACAACAGAUACUAUGCUGAUGAAGAUCAUUUGAAGUACCUAGACAGACAGAUAAAUCUGCUGAUGAAGACUUUGCACUCUUAGGAGGCAAUAAAGUGAAUCUCAGAUUGGUAUAAACAAAAUAUCACAACUAUACUAUUCCAUCAGCUUCCAAAUCCAAACCUCUGUCUUUCCAAGCAGCUACUGACAGCCAUACUCCUAUUGCCUCUCACUGUCUCUUUCUGAUGACUUCCAGCAUUCCACAACUUCAACUAAAGGCUCAUCUACACAAGCGUCUUAUUUUGGACUAACGGCCAUUUUUUCAAUUAAAGUGGGCUGUGUUCACAUAACACAAUUCUUCUUCCUAAUUAACUGGCUAGUUAGUGCAAAUUGGAAAAACCACUUCUGUUUUUUUGGAUUUUAUUGGUUUUUUUGAAUGCGUUUGUGUGGGAAAAGGUUGUAUGCAUGCAUCUAUAUUUUGAGUUAACUUUUCAAUUCUCCCACUGGUAUGUCACACUGCAGUGCUUCACACCAGAAUUGACCCGUCUGUUUACCCAUGCACUCUCUACUGCUUGGGGGUCACGAUGGCCAGAUGUUACCUCCCCAUUUAAAUGCUGGUGUGCAGCCAGAAGCAUCCCAUCUGCAAUUACACACUCCUGGAGCAUUAUAACAAUUAUGCCUUGUGCAUCCACACAGUGCCAUGAACAGGUCAUGGAUUUCCUUGUGCUCUGGUGAGAAGGGACAGUGGAGUCCUCCUUCAACAGCAGCCACCAUAAUAUGAAAAUCUAUAAACAUUUAACUAAGCAAAUGGCUGAGAGGGGUCAGUCCUGGGACAAGGCUCAAUGCCACAGCAAAGGCACAGCGCUCCAGCAGAACUAUAAAAAAGCCAAGGACAGAAACGGGACCUCUGGGAGUGCUCCAAGCUCCUGACUAUACUAUGAGGAGCUGAGUGGGAUUUAUGAAGAAGGCCAUCACUGAAUCCCAGUAUAUUCUGGAUCUGGACAAUGCUGAAGGCACCAAGGACAACCUCAACCAGGAUACUGGUGUGGAGAAGAUAUCCUGUGAAAAUCAGGAUCUCUUCGCCGUGCAAGAGCAUGAGUCAGACCCUGAAGAACAGGCAGCUCCUGAAACCCAUGUCUAAACUCAGCAUGAUAGUUCCAUGGAGGGAACCUCUGCCAAUAACUUCCCCAGCUUCUGCACCUGACACCCGGCGGCCUUGAAGGACAGAACCAUAAUCAACAGUGGAACGCCUGACUACAUUCUCUCUGGGGCAGGAAAAGGAAGACCAAAGGCGAAAUGUUUGGGGACCUCAUGAUAACAUCUCAGAAGAGAGAUCAGACAACAGAGGAGUGGAGGGAAGUUCUCCUUGCAGAGACACAGAAGGACAGAGAACGUUCAAAGAGGGACAGGAUGAUGAAGACACCCCUCCUGGAGCUCACACAAAUACCAACUGUCUUGAUGCAGAACGUAUUGAUGCACUGUUCUGCCACUGCGCAACCACCUCCACCCCAGCUCAGUCCUCUCCUGCAGCCUCGAGAGAACAAUGCAUACUAAGAGCAGCAGCACCCUUCCCAAAGCUCAAACCAUAGACAUCUCCUUUCCCACCUGACACCACAGGAUUCUGAAAAAAAGUGACUACCGGGAACCUCUUUCACCCCCAUCACAAACAAUGAUUUCUUCCUGUGCCAUUGCACAUGCCAAGGCAAAAGCACUAGGAAAAAAUCCCACAUAUGCCUGUGACCAGUGCAGCACCAACAUGUGUGGACAUAGUACUUUUUUGUCAUGUGGUGCAGCUUUGCAUUGUAAUGUUGUAGAAGGUAUGCAGUGUUUUGCAUAAUUUUGCAUAGUUUGCAUUGUUUUAUGUUGGGGUUUGUGU